UCAUCAGAACAUUGCCAGCCAGUCACAUCCCCUUAUCACUUUUCCAGCCCAGCUUUCUAACUCGAAGUGUUGGACGGAGAACUGAUAAGGGUAGGUGACUGACAUCUGCAGCCUCUGGAAGC
rnacentral:pre_miRNA from 15 species